rnacentral:rRNA from 1 species
UGAGGGAAUAUUUGGGGUCAAUGGUCGCGAGACUGAACCAGCCAAGUAGCGUGCAGGACGACGGCCCUCUGGGUUGUAAACUGCUUUUAGUUGGGAAUAAAAGGCGGUACGUGUACCGCGUAUUGUAUGUACCAUCAGAAAAAGGACCGGCUAAUUCCGUGCCAGCAGCCGCGGUAAUACGGAAGGUCCAGGCGUUAUCCGGAUUUAUUGGGUUUAAAGGGAGCGUAGGCGGAUUUUUAAGUCAGUUGUGAAAGUUUGAGGCUCAACCUUAAAAUUGCAGUUGAAACUGGAAGUCUUGAGUGCACGCAGAGGUGCCGGAAUUCAUGGUGUAGCGGUGAAAUGCUUAGAUAUCAUGAAGAACUCCGAUCGCGAAGGCAGCUUUCCAGCGCGCUACUGACGCUGAGGCACGAAAG